rnacentral:rRNA from 1 species
CAGUAGCCGCGGGAAUACGGAGGGUGCAAGCGUUAAUCGGAAUUACUGGGCGUAAAGCGCACGCAGGCGGUCUGACAAGUCAGAUGUGAAAUCCCCGGGCUUAACCUGGGAACUGCAUUUGAAACUGUCAGGCUGGAGUCUUGUAGAGGGGGGUAGAAUUCCAGGUGUAGCGGUGAAAUGCGUAGAGAUCUGGAGGAAUACCGGUGGCGAAGGCGGCCCCCUGGACAAAGACUGACGCUCAGGUGCGAAAGCGUGGGGAGCAAACAGGAUUAGAUACCCCAGUAGUCCCUGUCUCUUAUAC